rnacentral:lncRNA from 1 species
CCAGGCGCUGCUGCGCCCGAGUCGAGGGGAGCGGCGCGGGAAGGGCAGCGAGCCGCCGACGCCCCUGCCUCAUCUCAAAGGCCACGCGAGCGAGCGAACGAACGAACGCGAGUGACUUGCUANGGACGACCCCCGCCCCCCGCCCAGCCCGCUGGCUGCCGCCGAGGAAAGGGCCCGGCCGGCCCCGCCUAGCUGGGCACCCCUGCGCGCUCCUACCUGCCCACCCGGCAGGCCCCUCUCUCGCAGCCGCCCGGCCGCCCGACGGGCACCUGGGGACACCUCCCUCCUUCCCUCCCUCCGUNCUGCCCGGCCCGGCCUGGCCCGGCCCGGCGCGGCGCCUAUGUACCCCCGAUCGCGCACCCACCUCCCUGCGACCGCGGCAGCUCUCAUGGCGAAGGCGGCGGUAGCAGCGACAUCUGGGACGACGCGGCGGCGGCGCUGCCUUCGGGGCCGAGGGCGGGAGGAGGGCGUCCGCCGCCUCCGCCGGCGCCGGCCGGGAGGGCAGGGGAAGCGGGGCGGCGCACGCGGGAAGGCACCGGCGGGCGGCGGCGGCGAGGGGGGCAGGGAUGUCGCGAGACGGGAAAAGCCGCUUGGCCCCUCCCGCCCGGCACCUCUUAAAAGGGCAACGGCGGCGGCCGGCGGGGCGGCCGCGGGCAGGGUCCGAGGCCAGGAGCAGGAUCGCCGCCGCCGCGGGCAGCGAGGUGCGCGGCAGGGACGCGGCAGGGAAAGAGAGCAACAGCGCGAGCCUCGCGGUCGUGGCGCCCUCGGGUACUAUGUUGGCAACCGCUGCGUCGCCUAUUUCUUUCAGGCAGUCCAAAAUGGUCAGCAGAUAUCAACAGAAAACAGAAGAGGACACUUCCAUCUCUGAGUUUGCUAAAAUCAACUUUUGGGAUNGGCUUCGCCAACAACCAAACCUUCAAUGGAGGGAAGGCUACCAUGAGGCACCAUCCCUGCUGACCUCUGGCUGCGUGGUAGGAAGGCCUGAAGUGGCUGAAGGAGACCUUUUGCCCUGGCAGGUGAUCUCAACCUUGGAGGAACUUCCGUCGCCCAAGGAGCUGUGUCAGAGGAAGAGGAAAGGUCCAAAACAAAGACGUCUUGACGGCGUCACAGCUUUGUCCGUCUGCUGUCAUCUCGAGGAACUGAAACGGCGACAAAACAGCAUUGAUGAGUUGAAAAGGGCUAAAUGGGGCAUGUGCUCAUCCCAGCAGCUCUGUGGAAGUGCAGAGGGCAGGGCAGACUCAUUCACACACAUAGAUGUUCGUGAAGAUUCCUUGAGCCCCUUUGCUGUAUUAAGACCACCUGCCCGACCCUGUGGAGAGAAUUCAGGCUUCAACAGACACAGUAAUACACAGCUCCUCUAUCCAGAGUGGAGCCCUGCCACGAGAGGCCAGUGGACGAUCCCUCNAGGGAGUCCCGUGAUCUCGUACACGAUGGCGACGCACAGCAGGUGUCACGCGCCCGAGGAGGAGCUCUGGAGGUCCACGCUGCCGCCAGAGGAAUGACCAGAGGAAAGUAACGGGAGGGAGGGAGGCGGUCGCUGCUGGGGCGAAGAUGCUGGUUCAGGCGUAAGGCACGGGGAUUGCAAAUCAUAACUCGUCCGGUCUUAACAAGGCACCAGAGCCAAGAACAGGCUGUGUUUGAUCCCUCCUGUCCUAUAAGCCUUUAUUUUUGCAAUGAUAUGUGUUUAUUAGCCAGGUCUCCGCACUCACAUUCACCGGUGUGCCUUUCUCCCUCUGUGUCAUGGGUAAGGCUUCCAAAAGCGAAGAGAGGAAGAAAGGGAGAGAGAGAGAAGCCAUGGGAGCUUUCAAGAGUGUUUCCAUAGCAAUGCAGCAGCGUUGGAAGUAGAGAGACCCACAUGUAUUUAUUUGCAAAAGGAGAGAAGCUCUCCCUCCCUCCCUCCCUCCCAGUUUGCGUAGGUGUAUGCUCUAGAGUUAUAGACAUUUAUUUGGGAAGAAAGAAACGUUGCAGGCAGUUUCUGCAGCUCUGGAGUUUUGAUGGUUGGUUUUAAUUAACCAUUGUCUCGUAACAAAAGAGAGGAUCAUUCCUGGAGCCUGGAAUAAANGUAAGGAGCUGUGAUAGGUGCCA